ACCAAAAUUCCGAUGUAGAGCCGCAAUUCGUAUGUACAUCUACAUCGUUUUGGAUGUUAAAUCACAUCCCCUUAAAAUUACACCGAAACAGAUUUAUCAUUUUCCUAUACGUUGUAUAUGUGUAAUAUUUGAAUAUAAAAACAUUGAAUAUAGCAUAGAAAAGAAUGCAACCCAAUGAAAAUGAUUUGCCUGUGUAAUUUUACACACAAUUUCUGUAAUAUCGCAUUUAAAGAUUAUGCGAUUUUGAAUCUCGCAACACUGCUCAAAUCCAGUUUUAGGUGUUUACCGAUCGUAUCGCCAUUUUGAUUUUGCAAUAUUUAUUGAAGGUAAAAUAAAAUUUAGUUACCGGUGUUAAACUAAUUCAACAAAUUAGAUUUUUGUGAAGAGUGCGGCCAGAAAGCAUUUACGGUGGAGGAUUUCCACUAAUGCACCGAGUGGGGAACCAAAUCGCAUGGUAUGGUCCGGAUCUUGUGGCUGAUUUUGGAGAAGAGUUGGAGAUGGGUUCCCCGUCGCAUACGGGUCGAGUCGUGAAUUUCGUUCUGCUGAGCUGGUCGAGCUAAAUCGAUCAACUGGAGACGUUGGGUGCCGGUAACGAACGGUGCUGGAACUGUCUUAUCUGUGGCGGAUGCAGAUGGAAUUCUUGUCUGAAGAAACCCGAAUGACCCCUAUUGAAUAUGUGACAUAACACUGAAUCAACAAUUGCUUUUAUCAAGGAUGCGUUAUUGUGUGAAAAUAAAAAAGAAAUCAGCGCAAAAGCAAUGAUUUGAGUAGCAAAGUAACCCCUUCGGUGACAACUUCCGAAACGACGUUGAAUUAAAAGAUGUGUUCGGAACAGGAGUUUGCUGAAUGCAAAGGGCCAAUCAUAGAAAUCGGACGUGAACGUGAAGUGCAACCGACUGAUUACCGGAUCGGGAAGCCUGGUUAACUCCGUUUUUUGGCGACGAAUGAGAAAGGUUGUGGAACCACAUGAGGGAAAACAAAAGUAUAUACGUUGUUUUGUAACGCGAAUUAACUGGAUAAUGAUAUGUGGCUUUAUGUUUUAUUCUCACGCGAGUGAUCUACGUAAGAUCCGAUUGUUCAAAUCCAGGACCGUGUGAUUUGGAGUUCCUUUCGACUCCCGUCAGUCAGAAAGAAUUGGAUUUAGGAGAAAGUGUCGAAUAUAUCAACGAACUGUGCGAAACCGUUUUGCAGUAGCUGAGCAUGAAAAACACAUCUUGUCCGCACAGUUUCGGAACAACUGCUAACCGACGAUUGAUCCUGCCAAGCGAACGGUGUUUGCAUUAUUUCGGCCUGCUGUAAUAUAUUCCGAUCCAUCCCGAAACUCGGUCUAUUUUCCUGGCGGCCUUGCGGAACGGGAUUUUUGAAAGUUUUUGGCUACCUGACUUCCGGAAGAUAAAUUCACUGCUUAGGCUUCAGUAUCUCAAAAAUUUAUUUAAACCGCAACCGUACCGUAAAAUGUUAGCAUUGGUUGCUAACUUCCUAAUUCAUAGAUAGCCACCAAGGCUGUUAACUACAUUCACCGGGUGACAUUGGCUAUGUACGUUGCAUGUUUGCUGAUGCGAGUUAUCUGC